UUGAUACUGAUUGCAUACCUCAUUCCCCUGUUCUAAGAUAUGCUGAUAUGGAUUGCAGAGAUACAGAUGACGUUGGCCGAUUCAGUUUUAAUCGACUUUAGAUCCCAAAGGCUAUUGGUGUUUUUAAUACUCCAACUUAAACCCGUGGCUCACAGCUAUUGACCUCUCUUUUAAGGGAAACAUGUAGAAAUCAGGAGUCUUUUCUCAACGUUCUUUAAAUAUUUAUUUAUUUAGAUGUUGGGAACGAAAUUGCGGGCAUGGGCACACCUCUGCUCUGGAAACAGAAUUCUGCUUGAAUUGGUAUCUGCGAUAUAUGUGUGCUAUAAAGCCCCAGGAAGCCUUUGUCGUUGCUCCAUUUCUUUGCAAGGAUUGAAGACUUGCCCAGAAAAUGUUCUUUCUAUUCAACAAGAAGAAAGCAGACAUAAUGUGGAAGCUGGAUUUUUGGAAUCAUCGAACUCUAUUAAGCACUGAAGUCCCGGUGUUGUCAUAGGUUCACUGGUGUAAGGCCAAGCAGAUGGGAGUCAGCCUCGUGAAUGCAGUACCCAUUGACAUUCAUCGGGUCAACUGCAAGGAACUGCUGCUAUUAAGACAAUUCCUGAAUUGUAUCAUAGAAAGAUCUCUUGCAUGAGUUCUGUUCCCAUGAGAUUGUAUUAAAUGUUAUAGCAAAAAACAA